UGCACCUAUUCCGCUAGCUGAACCGAGCGUUACAGUAGAAGGAGCAAAAUCUACUAUAGAAUUGCCAUUGCCCCUUAGAUUGACAGCUCCAACUACUACAAUGUCUUUCGAUAAGAGCAAAAUUCAAUAUCGGUGUUCCAAAUGCAAAUUAACAUUUAUUCUUAAAUCCCAACUUUUGAAACAUAUACAGCAAAUACAUAUCAACCAAAUUAAUAGAUCUAAAAAUAAACUAAAGUAUGGCUGCCGAAUAUGUAGUAAAAAAUUUGCAUA